GAUGAAGAACGUAGCGAAAUGCGAAAAGUAAUGUGAAUUGCAGAAUUCAGUGAAUCAUCGAAUCUUUGAACGCACAUUGCGCCCGCUGGUACUCCGGCGGGCACGCCUGUCCGAGCGUCAUUUCAACCCUCAAGCCCUCCUUCGGGAUGGGCCUGGUGUUGGGGCUCGGCCGCCAUCUCCGGCGGCCGUCCCCUAAAUACAGUGGCGGUCACGUCGCGACUCCUUUGCGUAGUAGAAACACCUCGCUCCGGAUAGCAACGCGGUCCACGCCGUAAAAUCCCCAAUUUUCAAUGGUUGACCUCGGAUCAGGUGGGAAUACCCGCUGAACUUAAGCAUAUCAAUAAGCGGGGA
rnacentral:misc_RNA from 1 species